AGACAGCCAGGGAAGGCAACAGGGUCGGGGACGGUGGCAGCUUCUCUGCAGAUGCAGUGUGUACUGGCAGCAGCACUGUCUGUCUUCAUUUCCCCCUGCAGCCUGCGUGCUCUUGUGCCAGAACCUGUGACCUGAGGACAAGCUGAGCUGCUCUGGCUGUUGUUUUAUGGGUUCAGUCCUCCACAAGCACAGCAAUUUAGAAGAAUUCGGAGAAGGUCCCACGAGCCCAAGGCAGAGCCCACAUCUCCUGGCGACCCCCAAGUCUGGACUGGAAGAGUUGGUCUCACCAAGUAGGGAUCUACAGCAG